CAGUAGCCACGGUAAUACGAAGGGUGCAAGCGUUAAUCGGAAUUACUGGGCGUAAAGCGUGCGUAGGCGGUUUGUUAAGUCUGUUGUGAAAUCCCCGGGCUCAACCUGGGAAUGGCAAUGGAUACUGGCAAGCUAGAGUGUGUCAGAGGAUGGUGGAAUUCCCGGUGUAGCGGUGAAAUGCGUAGAGAUCGGGAGGAACAUCAGGGGCGAAGGCGGCCAUCUGGGACAACACUGACGCUGAGGCACGAAAGCGUGGGGAGCAAACAGGAUUAGAGACCCCUGUAGUCCCUGUCUCUUAUAC
rnacentral:rRNA from 1 species